rnacentral:rRNA from 1 species
CUUCUUGAAUUUAAUUGGAAGUCUGGUCUGUCCACUGAGAGAUAUAUUGAAGGGCCGCGGUAUUUUGACCGUGCAAAGGUAGCAUAAUCAUUAGUUUUUUAAUUGGGAACUGGAAUGAAUGGUUUGACGAGAUAAUUAAUGUCUCUAAUAUGAAUAAUUGAAUUUUACUUUUAAGUAAAAAGGCUUAAAUAUUAAUAAGGGACGAUAAGACCCUAUAGAUCUUUAUAUUAAUUUUAUUAUUAUUGUUUUAGUUGUUUUAUUAUUUAUUUUUAUUAAAUUUAUUAUUUUGUUGGGGUGAUGUGAGAAUAUAAAAACUUCUUAAUUUUUAACUUUGAUUGUUGAAUUUGAGAUCCUAUAUUAUGGAUUAGAGAUUAAGAUACCUUAGGGAUAACAGCGUAAUUUUAUUGGAGAGUUCUUAUUGAUAAUAGGGAUUGCGACCUCGAUGUUGGAUUAAGAAUAUAUAUAUUGGUGUAGAUACUAAAUAUUAUUGGUCUGUUC